ensembl:piRNA 21ur-4200 ncRNA
GCCGUAGCUAGUUGCCCUGAA